CCUACGGGAGGCAGCAGUGGGGAAUUUUGGACAAUGGGGGCAACCCUGAUCCAGCAAUGCCGCGUGUGUGAAGAAGGCCUUCGGGUUGUAAAGCACUUUAAGCGAGGAGGAGGCUACCGAGAUUAAUACUCUUGGAUAGUGGACGUUACUCGCAGAAUAAGCACCGGCUAACUCUGUGCCAGCAGCCGCGGUAAU
rnacentral:rRNA from 1 species